rnacentral:tRNA from 1 species
GCCAGCAUGUCUCAGUCAGUAUAGUAUGAGACUCUUAAUCUCAGGGUCAUGGGUUCAAGCCCCACAUUGGGCG